UAUAAAUCUCGGUCAUAAUCCAAUAGCAUUCGGUCAACACCGACUGUUUCAGAUUUCUGAGAAAGUUUGAUAGCAUGUCCCGUUAGUUUACCUUUUAUUUGUAAAUACGUAUUGUGAAUAAAAUUAAAUACUUUUAACUAGUUAUAUUUAGCUGGAAAUAUAAAUUAAGUAACUCGAUUUCAAAAUUGAGAUCUCGAGUAUCAAUCAUUAAGCCUUCUGCCACUUGCGCUUGGGACGAUCGGUAGAUUUUCUAACGUCAAUAGUGAUAGUUGGAGAAUUAAAAUAAAU
rnacentral:lncRNA from 1 species